AUUGAACGCUGGCGGCAGGCCUAACACAUGCAAGUCGAGCGGAGCGGCGGACGGGCGAGUAAUGCCUAGGAAUCUGCCUGGUCGUGGGGGAUAACGUCCGGAAACGGGCGCUAAUACCGCACACUCUCAGACGAGCCUAGGCCGGAUUAGCUAGUUGGUGGGGUAAAGGCCUACCAAGGCGACGAUCCGUAGCUGGUCUGAGAGGAUGAUCAGUCACACUGGAACUGAGACACGGUCCAGACUCCUACGGGAGGCAGCAGUGGGGAAUAUUGGACAAGGGGCGAAAGCCUGAUGCAGCCAUGCCGCGUGUAUGAAGAAGGUCUUCGGGUUGUAAAGCACUUUAAGUUGGGAGGCGUUACCAACAGAAUAAGCACCGGCUAACUUCGUGCCAGCAGCCGCGGUAAUAC
rnacentral:rRNA from 1 species